rnacentral:other from 1 species
GUCCCCCUGGAGUGUGCGUGAUUUAUGCCUCGACGCUGACCUGACGAAGAUUGCGAAACAAGGGGGCCGUUCCCUGUUUUUUGUGUGCAUGCCCGGCUUGAACCGGGAAGCCUGAAGAAAGCAUAUCGGCGCCCGACCUGGGUAACCAGGUUUUGCGCCGUAGGCGUGACACGGCUCUCCGGGGUUAUG